GAGAAGCCAGUCUGCGGGGCCCAGGUGAGCACGGCGAUGUCUCACGUGGGCCCCAGCCCAGAAAUUUCCCCCAACGUGGGACCCAAGUCCGGGACCCUGCGAAUGAGGCUCGGCCGGCCAGCCCCGCCAGGCCUCCAGUCGCUCGGGAAAGGACCCCGGGGCUCCUGUGCUCCGCCGAGCCCCCUCUGGACCCGGGCUCAGCCCCUCGCAACUGGGGAACCCCGAAGCGGGGGUCAGAACCGGGGUCGCCGGUCACUUCUUCCCAUCUGCAGACUUGCCCGCUCCCCUGAGCUACUGGGCCACACAGACGCACUGACAGGACCGGACGGCACACGGUGACCUGGCGGCGCCCUCGCUCCUGGCUGAAAACAAUCCGCCAAUUCUGCGUUCCACUGGCCGGGGUGCAGCGCGCACAGGAUCCAGAACCUGUCCUUACCAAUUUUAGACCAGGAAAGUUCUGGAGUACCUCAAACAGCCUGUGGAAUAGCAGCCCCUUACGGCUGCCCGGCUAGCUCAGUCGGUAGAGCAUGAGACUCUUAAUCUCAGGGUCGUGGGUUCGAGCCCCACGUUGGGCGCAACUUUUGUUGAGCCAGCUUGACACAACAGAAACAGGUGACUGGGUCUGGUCUGUAUAAUAUAAACUAAAACUCUUCCAAAGUGGAA